rnacentral:ncRNA from 1 species
AGUGGAGAAAUGUUACAUGUUAACAUUACUUGUGCAUGGCCGAUUAGUCGAUCCGAAGAGAUGGGGAAUCCUUGUAUCAAGGGUGCACUCUGUAUGAACAUCGAAAGAUAAUUGGGUUAAUAUUCCUGAACCAGGACAUGGUGGUGGACGAUAAUGUUAGGAA